AUUUUUUAUAGUAUGAAAAUACUGUCAACGCAGAUGAGAGUAAACACUUUUGUAGUGAGUAAAAAAGCGAGAAAAAUCGAGAAAAACAAGUGAAUAGCAAAUAUGGUCAGAAUCCGGUUGACUAUGUGGCGCCUAAUCAGUGACGGAAAGUGCAAAUGAAAAGCGGAAAAUCCAGCAUCUAUGCGCAGGCAGGCCAACAGCACAAUUAAGUGCUCCACUAGCAAGGAGUUUUGGGGCAGUUAGUGUUGAAGUUGCUGUCGUUGUUGCAGUCCAAGUUGAAGUCGAAGUCGAAGUCGAAUUUGCAGUCGUCGUCGCAUUCGAAGCUGUUGACACACUUUCGAUUGCAUCACCGCAGCGUGCGGCACAAAGUGGCCAUAAGAUGCAGCCAGUUUUAGCUUAGUUUACAGUUUCGGCUCUAAUUAUUUGUGCAAAUGGUGGACAUGUGCAUUAUUUAAGAUUUCAUCAUUGGGUUUUUCCUGGAGCGGUCACGGAAUCUUGAAAAAUAUAACUAAGAAAUGCCAACGCAAUUAAAUUGAUUUAGAUUUCAAAGCAGAGCAGCAGACACUGCAAAGGAAAUUAAUCACAAUCUAAUUGUUUUGCCAACUAAAUUACACUAUCCCAGUUUUUCUAGGUGCGUCCCAAAUAUGUGGUGAGAAAUUCAUGUUUUGGUGUUAGAUUUUUGCAACGAAAUAUUUGCACAGUAAAUGCCUCUGCUAAUUGCCAAUUACGUUUAAUUAAUUAACAUGAAAAUUACAACAACAACAAAAUGAUACAGUGUCGAAAAGCCAUUUACGAGUUGGAAAAUAAAACAAGUUUCUGUCUUCAAAUUUGCAACGACGCGUCGUCUAAGUGCCGAAAGAUUUUCCAAAAAAGAUUUUCAAAUCAAGUGAAUUACAUAAAAAAAACCUACCCCGGCGCCUAAGAGUUAAAUUUCUAAAUCAGAUGAUUGAUUGACUGGCAGAUAGAAAGAGAGAGAGAAGGAGAGAUGGCGACGAAGAAGAGAGCUGGAAGCUAUUUGAGUUGUGGUCGUAAUUUGAGUCGCUUAUGUAGAUGUAAACCAUUGCUCAACGUGUAUUCAAUUACCAGUCGAGUACUUAGUAUGAGGUAUUUGUCAUAUUUAUGGUGAACAUUUGACAAAAGGCUGCACUUAAUUAUGCUUCCACCGAAUGCAAAACAGCGAUAAAACAGGAAAAACAGUACAAAGAAAAAAAUAAAUGAAA